CCAAUUCAGGAGGAAACCCAAUAAAUCUGGGAAAACCUCCUUUGUGGGAAUCGAACCCAUGACCUAAUGGUCAUAAGCCUUAUCCCACCCCCAAGAUACCACUAGACUACAAUGUCAUGGGUAACAGGGAAUUACUCAACUUGCUAAGGAAUCAUUAGGGUUUGAGAAUUGGGGAUGAUGAAGGUGUGGGGAAUGGUGUAGAGAGAGAAAGUGUGUGUAAAUUAAAUAGGGAAAUUAAUAAGUUUGAGUGGGAAAAGACUAAAAUGCCCCUCACAUGAGGGGCAUGUGAUUAGGAUUUAAUAGUUGAAUUGGAUGGCGUUAGGGGCGGGGAGUGAAACCAUUUACUAUUUGAUAUGGAUUUUGUUGCGGGACCAGAAGAACCUCCGCCUCUUGUGCCAGUGCCUGCUGCUUUCGGACAUGUUUUUAGAGACGAAGUUCGACUCGCCAAGGCACCACCGCCAGCUCCACCUCUACCAAUGGGUCCACUACUACAAAUGCAACCAUUACAUAUACCACGCCCAAGAUUCUACCUCUGUGAUACGUUACAACGACCCCGCACUUGCAAUUCAUGCUGCUGCAGAUGAUAUGGGGGCGUUAAACACACAGAACAUGUUUGAAUGACAUCAGCGUGUUGUUCAAUCCCUUGGAAUUAUGAACCAGAGUGUCAGUUUACUUACACAAAGGCCCAACAUAAGAAGGAGAUACCCCAGAGACGAAGACAGAAUGUCCGAUUAUUUUGGGGCCAACAUAUUACAGCAUGCUAAUAUGUCGGGGAGACACUCAAUAGAAGACUUCAACAGUUCAACUAUGUGGUUUGGCCGAUAUCGGGUAAUGCUGAGAUAAUUCCUAUUGUCGUUGUAUACUUGAAUGGUUUUCAUACAUUAUUUUAUGGCCGGGGAGACAUGUCCUAUCCACAAUUUCGGACUCAAGUUGCAAGCGUCUGCAACACCGGUUAUAAUGCGUUUUCGUUGUGGUAUGCACUUGAAAAGGAGUACGUCCCUCUUGAUACGGUUUUGAAUUGGACUGACUGUAUACAUAACUAUGAUGCUUUUGAGAUGAGACGACGGGAAUUAUUGGCGGUGGGUAUUUGAGUCUUUUAACGUGUUUGGGUGAGGGGUGGGGGUGAAUUCUAUGAUAGGUUAGGAUGUUGAUAAUCAUGGUGGUGACAACAUGUUCUUUUGGGAUAACUUACUGAUUAGUUUAUUUGGGUGAACAUUUUGUAAAGUUUGAAUGUUACUUUUAGGAUAGCUUACUGAUUAGUUUAUUCGGGUGAACAUUUUGUAUUGGGAUAACUUACUGAUUAGUUUAUUCGGGUGAACCUUUUGUAAUUGGGAUAGCUUACUGAUUAGUUUAUCCCAUAUUAUGUUCACCCGAAUAAACUAAAGAGAUGCAGCUAAAGGAAGCCAUUGAUGGAGUGGUUUUAGAUGCCCUUGCUGACAAGGGUAUUAUGGAUGUUGCUCGCGUAUUUGUUCAAGAGGCUGGUAAAGAAGAUGCUGAAUUGGAUACUGAGUUUCAUGCAAAGUGUCAAAGAGUCAGAGACCUAAUUUCGGAUCGAGAAUUAUCAAGAAGCCAUUGAGUUCUUCAAUGGUUUACAAAUGGUGACAUUUUUCUUACAAUUUAUUUUUAGAUAUGGUUUAUGUAUAUGCUUAUAGAUUUUAAUAUAAUAUUAUUAUUGUUCAUACCUUUGAAACCCACCCAAAGUUAAUCUUUGACAUUUUUCUUA